rfam:Chlorocebus sabaeus isolate 1994-021 chromosome 16, whole genome shotgun sequence.
GUCUACGGCCAUACUACCCUGAACGCACCUGAUCUCAUCUCAUCUAGGAAGCUAAGCAGGGUUGGGCCUGAUUAGUACUUAGAUGGGAGACAGUGCACGGCUGCUGAAAUAGCCU